ACGAACGCUGGCGGCGUGCUUAACCCAUGCCAGUCGACCGGAAAGGCCCCUUUGGGGGUACUCGAGUGGCGACCGGGUGAGUAACCCGUGAGUAACCUGCCCUUGACUUCGGGAUAACUUCAGGAAACUGGGGCUAAUACCGGAUAGGAAUCCUUGCUGCAUUGUGGGGGUUGGAAAGCUUCGGCGGUUUUGGAUGGACUCGCGGCUUAUCAGCUUGUUGGUGGGGUAGUGGCUUACCAAGGCUUUGACGGGUAGCCGGCCUGAGAGGGCGACCGGCCACAUUGGGACUGAGAUACGGCCCAGACUCCUACGGGAGGCAGCAGUGGGGAAUAUUGCACAAUGGGCGGAAGCCUGAUGCAGCAACGCCGCGUGCGGGAUGACGGCCUUCGGGUUGUAAACCGCUUUCAGCAGGGGCGAAGCUUGUGGUGACGGUACCUGCAGAAGAAGCACCGGCUAACUACGU
rnacentral:rRNA from 1 species